rnacentral:tmRNA from 17 species
GGGGAUGACAGGCUAUCGACAGGAUAGGUGUGAGAUGUCGUUGCACUCCGAGUUUCAGCAUGGACGGACUCGUUAAACAAGUCUAUGUACCAAUAGAUGCAGACGAUUAUUCGUAUGCAAUGGCUGCCUGAUUAGCACAAGUUAAUUCAGAAGCCAUCGUCCUGCGGUGAAUGCGCUUACUCUGAAGCCGCCGGAUGGCAUAACCCGCGCUUGAGCCUACGGGUUCGCGCAAGUAAGCUCCGUACAUUCAUGCCCGAGGGGGUGUGCGGGUAACCAAUCGGGAUAAGGGGACGAACGCUGCUGGCGGUGUAAUCGGACCACGAAAAACCAACCACCAGAGAUGAGUGUGGUAACUGCAUCGAGCAGUGUCCUGGACGCGGGUUCAAGUCCCGCCAUCUCCACCA